UCCACUCGGCUCUGAAUCCAUAAUAUCCUCGCGUGGCUUUUCUUUUUCUUUGCGCUUUUCUAUCUCCUUGUUCUUUUCACUCCUUUCUCUGUUCCGUUCUAGCUCUUUUCCCUUCUGUUGUUUCUCUUUCUCCCUUUCUCUUGCAGGUUCUCGCUCUUUUUCCUUAUGUUGUUUCUCCUUCUCCCUUUCUCUUGCAGGUUCUCGCUCUUUUUCCUUCUGUUGUUUCUCCUUCUCCCUUUCUCUUGCAGGUUCUCGUUCGUGGUCCCUUUCAUGGUCAGCAUUCGCCUUAUCAUUCUGCGUAGGUUUAUCUUUCUGAAGCUUUUCUUUUUUGUCUUUUAUUAUUUUUUGCAGCUCAUCUACAUUCUUCGUAAUUAGAUCAAAAGGUUGUAGAAACUGGAAGUCUUCAUCCAUAUUGGUAUCAUCCUGCAUUCCUUAGUUAUUUUUGGUUAGUUCAGAGUUAUCAAAACAGCUAAACUUCAGGCACAAAAAAUCAGAAUAUCAAAAUGUUUGCAUUACAUUACUCAAAUUUGUUUCUAGUUCAAGAUACUGAAUACCCUUUUGCACAAAUUUAACAAGAGCGCCAGGAGGAACUAGAUUUCCAUCUAUCGUGCUCUUAUUGACCUCUGCCUCGUAGCCAAAAGUAAAUGCUGCAUGUGAAAAUCCUGAAAAGAAAUAUCAGCAAAACCAGUAGACUGAUUAGAUACUACCGUACUAGUCCAUCAUGAUCAAUGUCGGGUGCCACCAGCCUAUUAGCAAACAUAUUCAACUGAAGCAACAGCUGGUAUCAUAAAGGACCAACCAUAAACUAGAGUGCCUUGACCACCUUGGAAGAUCACUAAAAGUAACUGAAAUUUUGGCCGUUCAAUCAAGUAAAGAGGCUGAAUGGAUUUCAUAAUUGUCUCAAUCUUUUUAUUAUAACUUUCCUUUUUAUUCUCUGAAUAAUCAGGAACGACUGUUCUAAUGCCCCAUACAGCAUGCAAAAACUAAACCAAUAAUUGAAAUGAACACGAAAAUGGGAGCUUCUAAACAUCCUUUUACAGAUUAGGAAGCCCAUGAAACUGAAAGAUGAUUAUAUUUCAUCCAGAAAAAAGAAAAUCAAUAUGCAGUUCAAUCGAAAAUGAAGCAGAAAGCACAUGACAUGGACACCUGACAGCCCUAUAGCAUUCGUGUCUUCAACGUAACAAGAUAUGCCCAUUCUAGCUAUUUAAAAUUAAUACUUUCUUCCACUAUCACCACUUUAAUCAUAUAAGUCAAAUUAGCAACAUAAGUUUUGUCCCCCGGUAAACACCAUCUUACCCUCUCCGAACUCCACUAGUGGAACUACACUGGGUAUGUUGUUGUAGGAACUAAUAGUCCUUUUUAUCCUUUACUGUCACAUUCAUAAAUGAUUAACAAUUAGAUUCCUUAUUCAAACAACCAAACUAGGCAAUUUCUCUGUUACUAGACAUUCUUUUUUAAUCACUGAAAUAUGUUCCCUUCAGAUUGUUAUAUUCCUGCUAGGGGUAAUCAGUGAAAUUUUUACGAAAUAUUGGAAAUUUUGAAACAAUAAGAGUCCGUACGUUUGUAGUAGCCUAUUUGGCCAGGCUUCUUGGAGACUAAAAGCACAAACAAGGACCACCUUUUACAUUUGAGGUGUUUGGCCAAAAAAAAGAAGGUACUUUUGAGCAGCAACAACACAAAACACAAUUUGUUUCUCCAAAAGUACUUUUUGUAGAAGUUCUUUUGAACCUAAGUGGCAGUUUGGCCAAGGCUGUAGAUCUGAAUAAUAUUCAUUCUCAAUUUUAUUUCUUUUCUUCAACAGAAAAACUAAGAAAAUACAGGAAAGCCCUAUCUUCCUUGUCAAAGAGGCAAAGAAAGGACAGUUUCUGAUGAUGCAAAUUGCCCAACCAGUCCUAGUCAGUAACCACUACCGGAUGAAGUCAAUUUUAUUCUCGACAAUGUUUAUGCACUAGAAUACAACAACAACAACAUAUCCAGUGUAAGGGUAUUGUACGCAGACUUUACUCCCACUUUUGAUGUAGACAGAUUGUUUCUAGUAAACACUCGGCUUAGAAAGAACAUUUUAUGCACUAGAAUGGUUACAGAAAAAUGUUUCCUUCACAGAAUUUAUUCGUCUAAUAACAACAAGAAUAAACCCAGUAGGGCAUGCGUGUAUGCUAACCUUACCCCUACCUUGUGCAGGUGGAGACUACAAAGGGUGUUUCUGAUAGACCCUCGGCUCAGAAAGAACAAUUACGCACUAGCAUUGUUACAGAAAAAUGUUUCCUUUGCAAAAUUUAACUCGUCUAACAAACAACAGCAACAACAUAUCCAAUGGCAUCUAUGGAGGGUUGUGUGUAUGCAAAACUUACCCUACCUUGUGCAGGUAGAGACUAGAGAGGUUUUUCCGAUAGACCCUUGUCUCAUCAAGAAUGUUUGUGCACUAGAAUGGUCAUAGACAAGUGUUUACUUUACAGAAUUUAACUCGUCUAACAAACAACAACAUAUCCAAUGAGGUCUAGGGAGGGUGGUAUGCACACAUACCUUACCCCUUCCUUUGAGGUAGAUAAGUUGUUUCCAAUAGACCUUCGGUUCAGAAAGAACGCUUAUACACUAGAAUGGAUAAAGAAAAAUGUUUACUUUCCAGAAUUCAACUCGUCUAACAAACAACAACAACACAUCCAAUGGGGUCUAGAGAGGGUGGUAUGCACGCAGACCUUAACCCUACCUUUGAGGUAUAAAGGUUGUUUCCAAUAGACCAUUCGCUCCAAAGAACAUUUUAUGCACUAGAAUGGUUACAGAAAAAUGUUUACUUCACACAAUUGAACUCAUGUAACAACAUACCCAGUUGGCUCCGUAGAGGGUAGUGUAUACCCAAACCUCACCUCUACAUACCCUCAGCUGAAGUAAAACACAUCAAAGCAAUUAAAAAUGUCUAAUAACAAAAAAAACAACAUACACAGCGAGUACUGUAGAGGGUAGUGUGUACUCAAACCUUACCUUACACACCCUCAACUUAAGUAAAACAUAUCAAAGCAAUUAAACUCAUCUAACAACAACAACAACAUGCCCAGUGGGAUCAGUAGAGGGCUAAGUCGCAGACUCUCGCUUUCAAUGCCGCACCCGUGUCGGAUUCUUCAAAAAUACACUACUUUUGGCGAACCCAACACCCACCCGUUGACAUUUUUGACAAGUCCGAGCAACAUAAGUAGGGGGUAGUGCUCAGCCAAAAAUUACCCCUACACACCCUCGGCUCAAGUAAAGCAUAUCAAAACAACUAAACUCGUCUAAUAACAACAACACCAUACCCAAAAGGUUCUAGAGAGGGUGAUGUGUAUGCAAAUCUUACCCCUACGUCUUAACACACCCUCAGCUCAAGUAAAGCAUAUCAAAAUAAUUAGACUUGUCUAACAACAACAACACCAUACCCAGAAGGUUCAAGAGAGGGUGAUGUGUACGCAAAUCUUAUCCCAACGUUCUAAACAUGCGUUCGGCUCAAGUAAAGCAUAUCAAAACACAAAUCUUAUCCCUACGUUCUAAACACACCCUCGGCUCAAGUGAAGCAUAUCCAAACAAUUAAACUUGUCUAAUAACAACAACACCAUACCCAGAAGGUUCUAGAGAGGGUGAUGUGUACACAAAUCUUACCCCUACGUUCUAAACACACCCCCAGCUCAACUGAAGCACAUCAAAACAAUUAAACUCGUCUAAUAACAAUAACACAUACCCAAAAGGUUCUAGAGAGGGUGAUGUGUACGCAAAUCUUUCCCCUACGUUCCAAACACACCCUCGGCUCAAGUAAUAGGGGCGGACCUACGUUAUAAUUUGGGGUGCUCCGGCACCCACUAAACUAGACGCAGAAUAGGUAUAAUUACAUAGAAAAUAUAUGAAAAUAGGUAUAAAACAUAUAAAAGCCCCCACUCUAACAAAAAGUUGGUUGGGUGCACUGAAAACUUGAAGUGUUGACUCAGGUUCGAACCUCAUUGAGGUCAUUUUUAUUUUUUCUUAGCUUUUUAAUUUUUUAAGCACCCACUAUGCUUAAAUUCUGGGUCCGCCACUGUCAGGUAAAGCAUAUCAAAGCAAUAAAACUCGUCUAAUAACAACAAUAACAUACCCAGUGGGGUCUGUAGAGGGCAGUGUAUACUCAGACCUUACCCCUACAUACUCUCGGCUCAAGUAACGCAUAUCAAAACAAUAAAACUUGUAUAAUAACAACAACACCCUACCCAGAGGAUUCUAUAGAGGGUGAUAUGUACGCAAAUCUUACCCCUUACUUUCUAAACACACCCUCGACUCAGCUAAGCAUAUCAAAGCAAUUAAACUCGUCUAAUAACAACAACACCACACCCAAGGGGGUCUAUAGGAUAGUGUAUACUACCCCUACACGCCCUAGACUCAAGUAAAUUAUAUCAAAGCAAUUAAACUCAUUCAAAAACGAUUCAAACGAAACUGAUUUUUUUAAAAAAACCACUGGACCUGAUAAAUUCACCACAUAAAACUCUUUUAAUUAAAACAAGUUGAACAACUAUAAACAACAUUUAUUAUGAUUAGCUAUAGCUAUUUGAACCCUAAAAAGAGAGAAAAAAAUGUUGCUGGUGGGAAUGUCACGUAUUCUGUGAAUUUAAUCGGGGUGCACAAAAAUUCGCUCUGACACACUUAUCAUGGAAAAGAGAGAGAGAGGAAAAAUGUGGCUGGCGAGAAUGUCACUUAUUCCGUGAAUUUAGUCUAAUUUAGUCAAAAUGUACAAAAGCUCACUCUGACACAGUUAUCAAGAAAAAGCGAGAGAAAAAAUAUUGUUGGUGGAGGUAGCAGGUAUUUAGUCAGGUGCGGGGAAGCUGGCCGAACACCACUAUUAUCAAAAAAGGAAGAAAGAAAAAACCAUGUUGUUGAUGGUAGGUGUCACGUAUCCCGUAAAUUUAGUUUAGGUGUUCAAAAAUUGGCCCGAAUACCAUGAUUAUCAAAACAAAAAAGAAGAGAUAAAAAACGUGAGUUGUGGAAGGUGAUAGAUGUUUCGUGAAUUCAGUUGAGUUAUGCAAAAGCUGGCUCGAAUAUAAACACUAAUUGUCGGUGGAAAAUGGCAGGUAUCCAUGAAAGGUGUGCGAAAGCUUGUCCAAAAACCACGAUUAUCAAAAAAGGAAGUGAGAAAAAUAGAAGAACCUGAUUCAUGAAGGUAUCGGAAAACCAUGUAAUUGAGUUCAUCGGAGGAUAAAGGUGCCACCAUUGUUCUUGUGAUUCGCUGGCUGCGUAAAUAGACAUAUUAUGCUACUCUCUUUGAUUGAUAUAUAUAUAUAGAGAGAGAGAGAGAUUAGAGAGAGAGGGGAGAAAUUGGAUCGAGUGAAUUUAGAUACUCACUGGGAUGUUAGAAUUACAAAUGUUUUGGUUCCAAAAGGAAUUUUUGAAUCAAGUGUUCACUGUUGAAUUGCUAAACUGCCCUCCAUUUAUAUUAUGCAUAUUUUAUUUUGAGAUAAUUAUGAUGUCUGAGCAGCUUUCUUGCUGUUCAACUAAUUUCAUGGAAAAUUUGUCAUCUUUCACUAGCAACAAUAUAAGGUAACUUUGUAGCUUUCGUGUAGCUCAACUAAUUUCAGAGGGUAUCUGUCACCUUUCACCGACAAUAUAUACAAGGUAACUUUGUCCAACAUCAUCAGAUAUAAGAUAACUUUGUCCACCAAGAUUAGAAUAAAUGUGAGAAUCACAUAGUAUUUUUAUUUGUUUAUUAGUUAGAUAGGUUAAUUACAUAAAUUAUGUUAUUUUCUUUAGAUAUAUGCAUUCGCUAAGUCGUAAAACUUCCUGACAUGUGAUACUUGAGUUUGAUGUGUAUAUAAUUCAAAGAGAUACAUAUCUUAUGUGGUUAACUUAAUUAUGUAAUAGGCAAAUAAAACAUAUGCAAAAGUUUUUUCCAAAUUUGAAUUGAAUGUAUUUAAUUGAAAUACUUUAUUAAAAGAUGAGGUUUUCAAUUGAAAAUAAGAUUAGUUUGAAUUUCUUAAUGACAUAUCCUAAAAAGGUUAAGAAAUUGACCAUGUAUUAGGAUUAAAAUUUAUUUAAUCUUAUCCAGAAUGUACAAACAGAUCCAGAAUUCAAAUGAUAUGUUUAAAUUUGGUAGUUUAUUAAAAAUAUUCAAUUUACUUGUUACAGAAUCUAUUAUUUAUAUUGUUUAGUAGAUGGAUCGAGCCAAAUUAUUGAUUUCAAAAUUCAUAAACAAAGCAAAUUGUAAAAAAUUAUCUGCAUAAGAUAUUUACAUUAAAUAGUAUUAAUUUAAGAUAAUAAAGUCAUUGUUAUAAAUGUAUUUACAUUGUAGUGAAUGUCUAUCUAAUAAGAUUUAGCUGAUAUCUAUUAGGAUUUGAUGUAUUUGUUUUUAGUGUGAAACUAGGGGCAAAUUUUCCUAUAAAUAGAAGGGUUUCCUUCAUUGUAAAUUAUUCCUCAAGAGAAAUAAGAAUCACUCUCUCUAUUCUAUCUACUCUUCUUCUUUAUUUUUUCUUGUUUUAUAACACGUUAUCAGCACGACACUCUGCUUAUUUUAUAACACGUUAUCAGCACGACACUCUGCCAAACAAGAUGAGAUUAUAAAUUUGAGGCAUUUCAAGGUUUGCCAAACAAGAUGAGAUUAUAAAUUUGAGGGAUUUCAAGGUUAGUAAUUCUUUAUGCUAUCUUUCUUUUGCUACUACUAAUAUAAUUAUUCUUGGAUUUGAGGAAAAAUAACUGAUUUGGAACCAUUUAUAUUUUAAAUUUAUUCCUCAAGAAUAAUAUUAUAAAAAAAGAUGAUAAUAUGUUGGGUUCAAGUCCUAUCGAUUCAUGCCUAAGACGUCUUUGUAUGGAUAAGAUGUUGAGUUUGAAUCUCAAUACACCAUAUUGAUGAUAUUAUGAUGGGUAAGGCAAAAUAAUGAGUGUUUAAUAAAAGGUCAUGAAACAUAUUCCAUUAAUAUGCUCUAUUCCAUGAAGUGAAUAUGGUAGCAUAAAUCUGAAAGUUGACAACUUGUUUUAUUGUUGAAAGAAGACAAGUGAUUGAUGCACGAAUAUAAGUGUGGAGAGACAAUAUGAUAAUAAUCAUCAAAGUAAUAAUAUUCUUACACGCUUAUUAUGAUUAUAAGAUAUGCUAGAGAAAAAUUCUCUACAUCAUAUGUAUGCCUCAAUUUGCUCUUGAAGUAGCAAUAUGAUGAAAGAGGUUAUAAGAUAUAUAAGCUAUCAUAAUUUGAUAGGCUUAAGGCACAAUUAUAUUUCAUUCUUGGCGAAUGAAAAUUUUGAUUAUUAUAAGCACAAAUCCAUUCCCUGGGUGAAUGUGAUAAUAUUUAAUGAAGUUUAUUAAUAUAAACGUGUACUUGAUUGUGAUGGUAUGACAACUCACCUUCGAAAGAGGCAGAAUAGCUGAGAUUUUUGAAAUCUACUUCUGAAGUAGUAAAUCUGAAAUUUAUUCAUAUAAUUUACUAAAGUAAAAACGCAUAUCAUGGUAAACUUGGAGUUUACUAGAUUAAAAGUUCAUAAGUUGACAUGAACGAUUGUGAUAUACCAAAGAUGUGCAUACUGAAUAUUGAACAUAUAUUGAAGAAUUAGAAAAUUCUUCAUGAACUUUAAUGUUGCUUGUUCUCAUGAUCAGUUGGUUGGACCAACUAAUUUUGGGAUUGGAUCCCUCAAAAUCUGAAAAGAAUAAAAAGUGAAUAUGAGCCCGUUCACCUAUCAUGUGAUAUGUUGAAAAGAUGCAUCAAUAAGAUGAUCACAUAUACAUUCAUGGUCAACCUACGUUUGACAUUCAUAAAGUUAUUUGUUGAAUAUAAAUUGAGCAUAAUUUUCAGAUUGUGUGAUCAAGAUAAUUCAUCUUGAUGAUGAUGGCUUAGCAUUGAAUGCCUUCCAUAAAUAGCUGAACCAUUACUAAUGAGAACAAAGUUUCAUGUAUUGGUAUGAAAUAUGAUAUAUUUCAUACAAUAGCACUUGUAUGCAUUAGACUAAUACAUUAUGAUUAUUUCUUUCCUCUAAAUUGGUUCAAGGCCAGGAACCAACUAUUCCACUAAUAGUUUUGAUGUGCGGUAUAUGAUUAAUAAAUAUACCAUGAUGCACAAAGAUGGAUUCCUCAAAGAAGAUGGAGGAUGUAUGUUAGUUUUCCUAACAUAAGGGGGAGAUUAUAAGCAGCUAUGAAAUAUGUUAGGAAUUAUUGUCAGAUCCUCAUUCAAAAGAUAAUUCAAGUCAAAUGCCAAAAGCAUACCAUAUUUAGCUGCAAGUGCUCCUAUUUUGUGUCCUUAAAGUAUAAAGUCUAUGCAUGCGUGACGCAUGAUAGACCAAUCGGUUCCAAAUGAAAUAAUCCUUGAAAAGGAUAAGGAGCAAAUAAUCAUGAUAAGAAUGCAAUGUGCUCUUGAAGAGCCUACGAUAUAACACUUCAUGAAACCUUAUGAGAGACACUUCAUGAAACAUUAUGAGAGGUUUAGGUACCUAAAAAUAAUGAAGUGAUGAGAUCUAACAAUAUUAUGUUGCAUUGUGAACCGAUACAAAAUAAGAAAUCGUCGACGAUAUCUUUGAUACAAUAUUGACGCAAUAUUGUAAAAGAUUAUGAGGAUCUGAAUUCUAUGUUAAUUUAAGCAUGCUGACGUAGAAACAUUUAUCAAGUGGCCUGAAAAAAUACAUUUUGGUAAGCGUAAAACUUGUUUGAUUUGCAGUCCAGACACUUGAAGAUGUCACACUUGACAUGUUGGAUAUUGUUACUUGACAAACAUCCAUAUGAAAAUCCCUAAAGGAUUCAAAAUGUGUGAAACAUAUAAAGUUUCUGGGAAGCUUUUUAUUAUCCUCAUAAGAUAUAAUUUGAUGAUUUGAGUAUCAUUGAAACUCUUGGAGAGAUUUCAAAAGCAAUAAAAUAUUUGCUUAAAUGAGAAACAUGGAAAAAUUGAAUAAGGAUCCAUUCCGACCUCUAGAAAAGAAUGAGGAACUCCUUGGUUAUGAAGUACCAUAUCUUAGUGCAAUUGAUGCACUCAUGUACCUUGCAAAUACUACAAGGCCUAUAGCCUUUUCGACUAAUAUGUUAGCAAGGUAUAUUUCUACUCCUACUAGGAGAGAUCGAAAUGGGAUAAGAUACAUGAGCUUAUUUUAUUCUAAAGAUUGCAGUCCUGAUCUUAUUGGUUAUGCUGAUGUUGGGUACUCAUCUAACCCACAUAAAUCUCGGUCUCAAACAUGCAAUGUGUUCACAUAUGGUGAUACUGCCAUAUCUUGAAGAUAUACAAAGUAGUCUAUCAUAGAUAUCUCAUCAAACCAUGCGAGAUUAUAGCUAUUCAUGAAUCAAACUGACAGUAUGUGUGGUUGAGGUCCACGAUACAUCUCAUUCCUGAAAAAUAUGGUUUGAAAUGUGAUAAAGUUCCUAUGAUUUUUAUGAAGAAAAUGCAUAAUGCAUAGCAUAUCUUAAUGGAAGAUUCAUAAAAGGAGAUAGAACGAAGCACACUUCAUCAAAGUUUUUCUACAUACAUGAGCUACAAAAGAAUGGUGUUAUCAACGUGCAACAUAUUCGUUCAAGUGAAAAUGUGGCUGAUUUUUUCACCAAGUCUCCUCCAAUUGCAACUUUCAAGAAGAUGGUGCACAAGUUCGGGAUGCAAAGGUUCUAGGAUGUUCUCAUUAGGGGGAGUUAAUACGCGUUGUACUUUUUUUCUCUUACGAGGUUUUAUCCCACUGGGUUUUCCUUGUAAGGUUUUUAAUGAGGCAGUCGAUAUGCGUAUUGUUAGAAAUGUGUACUCUUUUUCCUUCACUAGAUUUUUUUUCCUAUUGAAUUUUUCCUAGUAAGAUUUUAACGAGACACAUUAUUUAUCUAGAUAUUCAAGGGGAGUGUUAUAAAUGUAUUUAUAUUAUAGUGAAUGUCUAUCAAGAUCUAAUAAGAUCUAGUUGAUAUCUAUUAGGAUUUAAUGUAUUUGUCGUGAAAUUAGGGACAAAUUUCCCCUAUAAAUAGAAGGGUUUUCUUCAUUAUAAAUUAUCCCUCAAGAAAAGAGAUUAAAAUCACUCUCUCUAUUCUCUCUACCCUUCUUCUUGUUUUUUAUUAUUUUAUAACAGCCAUAAAUUACUCUAAAUCAUAUAAUUGAUUAUACUUUAGUGAUAGAAUAGUCAAUGAAGAGUGAAGACAUAUGUCACGGGUUCUUUAGAUUACUUUAGCAUAAAUAUCAAGGUCACGGGUUUUUUUAUAUUAGUUUAGUGUAACUAUUAAGAAUGUGUUCAUCAUUAAAUUAGUGAUAAACAUCAAAUACUUUUAAUUAAAAAGAGAGUUCAUUGCACUAAAAUUGCACUAAAAUUAAAGGUAGUCGUGCAGUUCUGAUAAAUAUUUGACCAUAAGAGGCUAUUGUACAUAGGUUUAUCCUACAUUAUUGUAAGAGACUAUUUUCACGACUUAUAUAUGUAACUUCUUGAUCACAUAGCAAUAACUUUACAAGUCAAAUGAUGAAACUCCAGUAGAAUUCUAAUUAAACUCAUUAAACAAUGAUAAGAAAUAGAAAGGGGUGUAGGUGGGGGUGGGGGUUAUAUUUGCUAGACUUCCUAAAUAAAUUCUUCUAAAAAAUAACACUCAUUCAUGUACUGUUUGUGCUCACAUUAUUUGACCAAGAAAAAUGCCUUAUUCCGAUAAUCUGGAUUCAGAUUCAGGUACAAUUUAACAUAUAAGAAUCACAUUUUGAGGAAAUUGAAAUGGGAAAAGACAAAAAUAUAUGUGUGGCUUCUUAGGCUUAUUUGAUUAAACAUUCUAACCAAGUAAGCAACAUGUGACUCAGAGUACAUUUUAAAAUCAGCCUUUACAUAUGUAAUUUGAGAUUAUUAUUUCAAAUUUUAAAUUAUUCAUGCUACCAUACUCCUUUACUAUGAAAUGGAUCCAUGACGGACUUCGAGCUCUCCACCAUACCGUGGGUGUUUCUGAGUUCGUGGAAGAUCGGGAAAUACAACCUGAUCCAAAUAGGAAAUGAAUUUCUUGGCGGAUUGAGGAACUUCAAUUAUCUGAGGCUGGGACUUCUUCUCGAGCCUCUACAGCUGAUCCUACUCCUGUUUCUAAAAUGCAUGUCAAGAAGGAAGCCCAAGAGGAGGAACAGACUUCCACCAGGGCUCGAACUUUGCAGGUGGAUAAGCCCCACACUUAUGUCCCAGUGUCCUUGAAAAAAGAUACUUUUGUGAUGCAAAUUGAGGAGAAGGAUAUCCAAGAGCAAGGAGAUUAUCGGAGUACUGCUUUAAUUAGUUGUGUAUUGCGUGAUACUCCAUACCUCAAAUCAAUGGAGAGUCUCAAAACCUCAAGUUUUAUACCACGAUGAUGGUUAUUCUGUAUUCAAAUUUGCAAACCUAUUGAAUAGGGAUCUAAUCAUGCACUCUAGACCUUAUACAUACCGUAAUAAGCCAUUUAUCUUGUAAAUUAGUUGGUGGAUUUUGAAUUUGAUCCCGACUUCCUCAAUGUUAUUCUUUUGUGGGUUAAAUUUUGAUCUGGUGAAUGUUGCACUCCACUUCUUCAAUACUACUGAGAUGGAUAGGGCCAUAAAUUGUACUCAUGUAACCUUAGUUCCUAAGAUUUCGACUCCAACAAACGUUAAGAACUGUAUGUUGGGUUCAAUUGGUGUGAAUGAAAAAUAAAGGGACACAACCUUUGAGGAAAAGACACAUUGUUUUUGGAAAAGGAGUGAUUGUUCGGAUAAUUAUGUCUGUUUAGAAAAAAGACACAAUAUUUCGAAUGAACAGACAUGAUUUUUCCAAAGGAUACACUUUUUUGGAUGAACUAUUGCCACCUUUCGGAAGGGGCACUUUAUGGCUAUAUAAACUUGCAUUUUUUCCACAGGUUUAGUAUGAAAAAUUUCUGCAUAAGAAAAACAUUCUCUUGCUUCUAAAAACUCUGUGUGAUUCUCCCGUUGAGUGAGUUCGAAGAAAAUCAGAAAGUUUGAGGUACUGCUACAUUCUGAUUAUGAAGCCAUUUUAUCCCGGAAGAAAAAUUCUGUAACCUCGGGUACUUGAGGGGAAUUAUUUCCUUAAGGACACUCCGUUAAUUCGGAGGACUUGGCUUUUUUCUGCUUCAUUUAUUUUUCUUUAAGAAACUGAAAACACACUUCUUUGAAAGAUUAUUUUGAUCUUGUGUUGAAGGUGUUGGACAUCUUCAUAAGUGUUCUUCAUCUUGUGUUGAAGUAUUGUUGUGAAAAUACAGAUUUUGUGUACCCAAAAACAUUGAAAACAACAAUCUUAAGGAAAUAACUUACUAAUCUGUGCUAUUUCAUUUACUGUUUUUCCAGUAAAUAGUUGAACUUUAUAUUGAUAGUUCUUCAACUUUUUGAACUUGUGUUUGAAGUUCUUGAAACAUCAUUUUAAUAGUUCAUAAGUUGGUUGAACUUGUGUUGAAGUUCUUAACAUUUGGAUUUGCUAUUUUCCAAAAAAUAGUUUGAACUUCAUUUUGUUGAUGUUCAUAAGUUGGGUUGAACUUAUUGUUAAGAGUUUAAAGUUGUAAAUACAGAGUUAAAACUUCAUUUGAUUGUUCAUAUGUUAAUUUGAACAUGUGUUUGAAGUUAUUAUUGAAAAAUACAGAUUUUAUCAAUAUUGAGAAAAACAACAACAUUAAGAAAAGUAUAAAAAUAUUUAUUUUUGUGCUUGUUUGGUGAAGAUAAAAAUCAUCGCCAUUUAUAAAUCAAGUAUUUGGUUAAUAUGUAUUGGGUUUAAUUUUGUGGAGACUAAAAUCUUUUGAUUUCUACUCCCUCGAUUAGAAGAAUAUAAAAACUUCAUUGAGAAAUUAGUAUGAGAAUUUGGUUCGAAGAAUAUAAAAACUUCACCGAUUCAUUAAGAUCUUUGUAUUGGUUUCUGGAGUUUAAAAUCUGUGGGAUUUCACUCUAUUUGAAUUUGAUUAUGAUUUGAAAUCAUAAAAACUUCACCAUGUUUCAUAGUUCAUUAGAUUGGUGAUUUAAAGAUAAUAAAAG
rnacentral:lncRNA from 1 species